AAAAGUCGUAACAAGGUUUCCGUAUGUGAACCUGCGGAAGGAUCAUUACCGAUCGCUGGCCCCUCGGGGCCCAACCUCCCACCCGUGUUGCCCGAACCUAUGUUGCCUCGGCGGGCCCCGCGCCCGCCGACGGCCCCCCUGAACGCUGUCUGAAGUUGCAGUCUGAGACCUAUAACGAAAUUAGUUAAAACUUUCAACAACGGAUCUCUUGGUUCCGGCAUCGAUGAAGAACGCAGCGAAAUGCGAUAACUAAUGUGAAUUGCAGAAUUCAGUGAAUCAUCGAGUCUUUGAACGCACAUUGCGCCCUCUGGUAUUCCGGAGGGCAUGCCUGUCCGAGCGUCAUUGCUGCCCUCAAGCCCGGCUUGUGUGUUGGGCCCCGUCCCCCCCGCCGGGGGGACGGGCCCGAAAGGCAGCGGCGGCACCGCGUCCGGUCCUCGAGCGUAUGGGGCUUCGUCACCCGCUCUAGUAGGCCCGGCCGGCGCCAGCCGACCCCCAACCUUUAAUUAUCUCAGGUUGACCUCGGAUCAGGUAGGGAUACCCGCUGAACUUAAGCAUAUCAAUAA
rnacentral:rRNA from 1 species